GAUGAACGCUAGCUACAGGCUUAACACAUGCAAGUCGUGGGGCAGCGGAUACUUAGCUUGCUAAGUAUGCCGGCGACCGGCGCACGGGUGAGUAACGCGUACCGAACCUGCCCAUCACACAGGGAUAGGCUUGCGAAAGCAAGAUUAAUAUCAGAUGGUCUCACUUUUAUGCUUGUAUGAUUGAGUAAAGCCUUCGGGCGGUGAUGGAUGGCGGUGCGUCCCAUUAGGUAGUUGGCUAGGUAACGGCCUACCAAACCUUCGAUGGGUAGGGGGUCUGAGAGGAAGGCCCCCCACAUAGGAACUGAGGUACCGUCCAAACUCCUACGGGAGGCAGCAGGGAGGAAUAUUAGUCAAUGGGCGAGAGACUGAACCAGCCAAGUAGCGUGCGGGAUGACGGCGCUUGUGGUCGUAAUCCGCUUUUAUCAGUGAAUAAAGUGCACCAAGUGUGGUGUCAUUGCAGGUAGCUGAAGAAAAAGGACCGGCUAACUCCGUG
rnacentral:rRNA from 1 species